rnacentral:rRNA from 1 species
ACCAGCAGCGAUAGCACGUUGAAUGCACCAAUUCCCAGUGAAUCAUUGAUGUUAAGCAACGUUGCGCAACUAAGAGCCAUUAGCGAUAGCGCGAAAAAAAAAAAAAUCACCUCUGUGCUGCCUCUG